rnacentral:tRNA from 1 species
GGUUCCAUAGAGUAGUGGUUAGCAUGUCUGCUUUACACUCAGAAGUUCUUGAGUUUGAACCCCAGUGGAGCCA